ACGGGUGAGUAAUGCCUAGGAAUCUGCCUGGUAGUGGGGGACAACGUUUCGAAAGGAACGCUAAUACCGCAUACGUCCUACGGGAGAAAGCAGGGGACCUUCGGGCCUUGCGCUAUCAGAUGAGCCUAGGUCGGAUUAGCUAGUUGGUGAGGUAAUGGCUCACCAAGGCGACGAUCCGUAACUGGUCUGAGAGGAUGAUCAGUCACACUGGAACUGAGACACGGUCCAGACUCCUACGGGAGGCAGCAGUGGGGAAUAUUGGACAAUGGGCGAAAGCCUGAUCCAGCCAUGCCGCGUGUGUGAAGAAGGUCUUCGGAUUGUAAAGCACUUUAAGUUGGGAGGAAGGGUCGUAGAUUAAUACUCUGCAAUUUUGACGUUACCGACAGAAUAAGCACCGGCUAACUCUGUGCCAGCAGCCGCGGUAAUACAGAGGGUGCAAGCGUUAAUCGGAAUUACUGGGCGUAAAGCGCGCGUAGGUGGUUCGUUAAGUUGGAUGUGAAAUCCCCGGGCUCAACCUGGGAACUGCAUUCAAAACUGUCGAGCUAGAGUAUGGUAGAGGGUGGUGGAAUUUCCUGUGUAGCGGU
rnacentral:rRNA from 1 species